rnacentral:rRNA from 1 species
AUUGAACGCUGGCGGCAUGCGUAACACAUGCAAGUCGAACGGUGUUUGGUGCUUGCACCAGACAUAGUGGCGGACGGGUGAGUAAUGCGUAGGAAUCUGUCUUAGAGAGGGGGACAACCCGAGGAAACUUGGGCUAAAACCGCAUAUUCUCGAGAGAGGAAAGCAGGGGACCGGAAACGGCCUUGUGCUCUAAGGUGAGCCUACGUCGGAUUAGCUAGUUGGUAGGGUAAAAGCCUACCAAGGCGAUGAUCUGUAGCUGGUCUGAGAGGACGGACAGCCACACUGGGACUGAGACACGGCCCAGACUCCUACGGGAGGCAGCAGUGGGGAAUAUUGGACAAUGGGGGGAACCCGUGAUCCAGCGAUGCCGCGUGUGUGAAGAAGGCCUGCGGGUUGUAAAGCACUUUCAGUGGGAAAGAGAAGCGUCUUGUGAAUAAUGGGACGUGGAGACGUUACUCACAGAAGAAGCACCGGCUAACUCUGUGCCAGCAGCCGCGGUAAU